UACGUAGGGCGCAAGCGUUAUCCGGAAUUAUUGGGCGUAAAGAGCUCGUAGGCGGUUUGUCGCGUCUGCCGUGAAAGUCCGGGGCUCAACUCCGGAUCUGCGGUGGGUACGGGCAGACUAGAGUGAUGUAGGGGAGACUGGAAUUCCUGGUGUAGCGGUGAAAUGCGCAGAUAUCAGGAGGAACACCGAUGGCGAAGGCGGCAUCCUGGACCGAGAUUGACACUGAUGAGCGAAAGCUAGGGGAGCAAACGGG
rnacentral:rRNA from 1 species